rnacentral:rRNA from 1 species
UAGCGAACAGGAUUAGAUACCCUGGUAGUCCACGCCGUAAACGAUGAUCACUCGAUGUUGGCGAUACACAGUCAGCGUCCAAGCGAAAGUGUUAAGUGAUCCACCUGGGGAGUACGAUCGCAAGGUUGAAACUCAAAGGAAUUGACGGGGGCCCGCACAAGCGGAGGAGCAUGUGGUUUAAUUCGAUGAUACGCGAGGAACCUUACCUGGGCUUAAAUGUAGAUUGCAUAGGUUGGAAACAAUCUUUUCUUCGGACUAUUUACAAGGUGCUGCAUGGUUGUCGUCAGCUCGUGCCGUGAGGUGUCGGGUUAAGUCCCAUAACGAGCGCAACCCCUAUUCUUAGUUGCCAGCACAUAAUGGUGGGGACUCUAAGGAAACUGCCGGCGCAAGCCGAGAGGAAGGUGGGGAUGACGUCAAAUCAGCACGGCCCUUACGUCCAGGGCUACACACGUGCUACAAUGGUCGAUACAAAGGGCAGCUACCUGGUGACAGGAUGCUAAUCUCCAAAAUCGAUCUCAGUUCGGAUCGAAGUCUGCAACUCGACUUCGUGAAGUUGGAUUCGCUAGUAAUCGUGCAUCAGCCAUGGCACGGUGAAUACGUUCCCGGGCCUUGUACACACCGCCCGUCAAGCCAUGGAAGCUGGGGGUACCUAAAGUCUGUAACCGCAAGGAGCAGCCUAGGGUAAAACUAGUGACUGGGGCUAAGUCGUAACAAGGUAGCCGUACCGGAAGGUGUGGCUG